rnacentral:rRNA from 1 species
UCUUCCACAAUGGACGAAAGUCUGAUGGAGCAACGCCGCGUGCAGGAUGAAGGCUUUCGGGUCCUCAACUGCUUUUGUUAGCGAAGAAUUUGACGGUAACUAACGAAUAAGGAUCGGCUAACUCCGUGCCAGCAGCCGCGGUCAUACGGAGGAUCCAAGCGUUAUCCGGAGUGACUGGGGGUAAAGAGUUGGGUAGGGGGUUAUAUAAGUGAAUAGUGAAACCUGGUGGCUCAACCAUACGGACUAUUAUUCAAACUGUAUAACUCGAGAAUGGUAGAGGUAGCUGGAAUUUCUAGUGUAGGAGUGAAAUCCGUAGAUAUUAGAAGGAACACCAAUGGCGUAGGCAGUGCUACUGGGACACAGCUCGACACUAAGGCACGAGG